AUACGUAGGGGGCAAGCGUUAUCCGGAAUUACUGGGUGUAAAGGGAGCGUAGGCGGCAUGGUAAGUUAGAUGUGAAAGCCCGGGGCUUAACCCCGAGGAUUGCAUUUAAAACUAUCAAGCUAGAGUACAGGAGAGGAAAGCGGAAUUCCUAGUGUAGCGGUGAAAUGCGUAGAUAUUAGGAAGAACACCAGUGGCGAAGGCGGCUUUCUGGACUGAAACUGACGCUGAGGCUCGAAAGCGUGGGGAGCGAACAGGAUUAGAUACCCUGGUAGUCCACGCCGUAAACGAUGAGUGCUAGGUGUCGGAGGGGAACCUUCGGUGCCGCAGCAAACGCAAUAAGCACUCCACCUGGGGAGUACGAUCGCAAGAUUGAAACUCAAAGGAAUUGACGGGG
rnacentral:rRNA from 1 species